rnacentral:lncRNA from 1 species
UCCUUCCGCUUUUGAGGAUGGUUUCAAUGGGGUCCUAUUCUAUUUCUUCUUUUCUUUAAUUUUGCCCCUAUGAUUUUAUUUCAGUUUCACUUCAGCCCACGCUGAAACGGUGAGUUUUGGGGGAUGGGGAUUAUUCCCCACUUAGUCCUUCCUUAUUAUUCGCACUUUGUAAAUUGGUCUUUUCCCUUAUUUCCAUUCCCG